rnacentral:rRNA from 1 species
UAGUCCACGCCGUAAACGAUGUCUACUAGUUGUUGGGACCUUUAUGGACUUAGUGACGCAGCUAACGCAUUAAGUAGACCGCCUGGGGAGUACGGUCGCAAGAUUAAAACUCAAAUGAAUUGACGGGGGCCCGCACAAGCGGUGGAGCAUGUGGUUUAAUUCGACGCAACGCGAAGAACCUUACCAGCCCUUGACAUGGGGAUUCUGGGUUUCAGAGAUGAGACCCUUCAGUUCGGCUGGGUCCCGCACAGGUGCUGCACGGCUGUCGUCAGCUCGUGUCGUGAGAUGUUGGGUUAAGUUCCGCAACGAGCGCAACCCCUAUCUUCAGUUACCAUCAGUUAGGCUGGGGACUCUGGAGAGACUGCCGGUGAUAAGUCGGAGGAAGGCGGGGAUGACGUCAAGUCCUCAUGGCCCUUAUGGGGCUGGGGCUACACACGUGCUACAAUGGCGGUGACAGAGGGGAUGCAAAGGGGGCG